rnacentral:lncRNA from 1 species
AGGACUAAACCCGGACUGAGGUGACGGAGGAUUCGCUCCCGGAGUAGCCCCCGCCAGGUGGGAAAGACGCCGAGGCGGCUGAGCCCGCCGCUGAGGUCUAUGAAUGACCUAAAGCUGCAACUAAAAACGGAGAGAGAACGGUGCCAACUGGGAGCAGGGCAAGCAUGCCAAUUCCUCCUCCCCCCCUUGCACCUCCCCCGCCCACCUCAGCCACCCCCUCUUUGCUGAGUAACAGGCCACCUCCCCCAGCCCGAGACCCUCCCAGCAGGGGAGCAGGUGAGUGCUUGGAAGCCCUGAAUCCUUUUGCUUGCUCUCAGAAUGUCUCUGCCGUGACUGGGGAGAGUAAGAACUCAAGUGUUUUAGUGGAUGCCUUUUUAUGUGCUGGUGAUGGUUAGGGAAAAGAGAAAGAAGAACUUGUGGACAGCCUAGUACAUACCUAAAAUAAUGCUAUGUUUUGAGCUGGGGGAGAAGUUAGAAUGAGAUGCCAGUGUGAAAAGACCUGAAGUAGGAACACUUGGGACAGCAGGGAGGUCACCAUAAAGUGAGGGAAGGAUAGUAGGAGUGAAAGUGGGGCGCUAGUUCUCCCUAGAACAGCGCGUGGGGUUUUGUGAAGACUUGAACUGAGCCAGUCCCACACCCAAUGGGAUUGUUUUGGUUUUGAGACAAAGUCUCUAUGUGUGUCCUUGGCUGGCCUGGAACUCAUAGAGAUCCACCUGCCUCUGCCUCCAGAAUGAUGGGAUUAAAGGUGUGC